rnacentral:lncRNA from 1 species
CUGAAUGGCCAGAAGUAGCAAGAAGUUGAUUCAGAAAUGGAGGAAAGCAAAAAGUUUGUCCCAGCACACAGGCACAGAUAAUCCACUUGCCCAAGUCAUUUGAAUUAGGCAUGAUAGCAAAUGUCAAGAAAUGCAAAUACACAAAUACACAUGUAUGGAGAGCAGAGGGAAAAUGUUCAUAGUGUUGGGGGAAGAAAAGACCAAAUGAUUAACGUGGCUAAGAGCUCUUACAUCUUGAUGAGAAAAUAUUUAACCUCUCUUGGCCAUCAGAAACCUGACUGAGCAUGUUCUCAGUUUUGUCUGCCAAAGGCUAUUUUGGAAUCUGGGAACAAUUGUUUUAAAAGGAAAGAAAUUGUCUAGUCUAGAUUCCAGAGGCGUGUGUUGAGACCUUCCUCUCAUUUCGCACAUUUUGCUCUAUGAAACAUACUCUAUUUCUGUGCCAAAAGAUCUAUUUGAAACAGAGCCAGUGUCUCAUUCCAGGAAGAGGAAAGGAUAUCAAGAGUUUCCAUGGCAAUCAGUUGACGGAACUAAAUUAAGCAGGAAACCUCUUCAGAAUGCAAAGUAGUCUUGCAAAACAAAGUGGUUUGAAAUAUUCAGGAAGUGUGUCACAGCACAACGAAAGAAAUGGAGAUAUGAAUACCUCCAUAAUGUAAACUCCCUAACUGUAAAAUAAACAAUUAAAUGCUAGCUUUUGUCCUACAAAAAUAAACCCUCA